rnacentral:rRNA from 1 species
AGUUUGAUCCUGGCUCAGAACGAACGCUGGCGGCAGGCUUAACACAUGCAAGUCGAAACGCCUUCGGGGGAGUGGCAGACGGGUGAGUAACGCGUGGGAAUCUACCCAGUUCUACGGAACAACAGUUGGAAACGACUGCUAAUACCGUAUACGCCUACGGGGGAAAGAUUUAUCGGAAUUGGAUGAGCCCGCGUAAGAUUAGCUAGUUGGUGGGGUAAUGGCCUACCAAGGCGACGAUCUUUAGCUGGUCUGAGAGGAUGAUCAGCCACACUGGGACUGAGACACGGCCCAGACUCUACGGGAGGCAGCAGUGGGGAAUAUUGGACAAUGGGCGCAAGCCUGAUCCAGCCAUGCCGCGUGAGUGAUGAAGGCCUUAGGGUUGUAAAGCUCUUUCAGUAGGGAAGAUAAUGACGGUACCUACAGAAGAAGCCCCGGCUAACUUCGUGCCAGCAGCCGCGGUAAUACGAAGGGGGCUAGCGUUGUUCGGAUUUACUGGGCGUAAAGCGCACGUAGGCGGUUUGUUAAGUCAGAGGUGAAAUCCCGGAGCUCAACUCCGGAACUGCCUUUGAUACUGGCAAGCUAGAGUCCGGAAGAGGUAAGUGGAACUCCUAGUGUAGAGGUGGAAUUCGUAGAUAUUAGGAAGAACACCAGUGGCGAAG